AUUUUACUUCGAAGAAAGAUUGUGGAAAGGAAGAUAGGGCAGCCAAGUGGAUUAUGUCCCAGAGGAGUCUACAAGGGUUGAUGGCUAUAGACCUGGAGUUUAAUGGCAGGCGAUCCUCUUUGAUUGCUGAACAAGCCAAGCGGCGCGCUGAAAUAGCCAGGCUUGGGGAGAUUCACACCUUGAGAGGACAUAUGGAAUCAGUAGCAAGGCUCAAGAAUCUGGACUUGAAUGUGAUCCAAUCAUCUUAUACAGUUUGAAGCCAUGAAAUGAACAUUGUAUCUUCCAAUUUUCUAGUGAAAGAAAACUUGGCAGCAGCUGCUCACAUUAUCAAUUCCAAACAUAAUCUACAAAAAGAAUUGAAAUUUGCCAUUCAAGAGUCAAUUGGAAUGGCUUUAGUGAUCCAUUCAGAAAUGUCCCGAAUUUUUUUUUUUUUGAGUUCCUAGAAUGGAUUAAAACUCAAGAGGGUAUCUUCAGUAGACAGCUGUGCUAUUUCAUAGUAUGCAUUGCAAUUUUUUUUUCUUUUUCUUUUUGGGAUAGAGAGGGACUAUUUUUCUUGAGCUUUUUAAAUUCUCAUUCUUGUUUCAGAGAUUUGAUUUAAUGAUUUUGUUAAUUCCAAUGUAAUAAAUGUACCUGACACAGUGGAAAGUUCAUCUUUUUGAUUGGAUGAAAUCAUUGCAGGAUUUUUUCU